CUGUGAAAAAUGGAUUCAUAAUCCACAAAGGUAUUUUUGUCAGCAAGUAAUCAGAAUACAACCUAAUAAAUAAGAGAAUUACAAACUUAAAAAAUUACAGGGAAACCAACCCCACCCACGUCUGUCUUCCACAACCCCAUUUUCUGAUCAAACUUCUUCCUCACAUGAUCGAACAAAUGUGAUAUGACACGCGGUGCAGACGUGUAAACGGAGGAGGAAAAAACCCGAACGUCUAAGGAAACAGUUUCGCAGAAAGGGAAAUCCAAACAGUAUAUAUUGAUUGCUUAACCGGAAGGGGAGAAAUAAAAAUGGGGUUUUCUAAAUUUUGUUUGGAGUUUAAUAGAAAGUACUCUUUUUUAUUAGUCUAUAUAUCAUAGUGCUGAGAAACUUUUCUGCAAAACUUUUGUCUCUUGCGCGCAGGUUAAGGCUCGAUCACCUUGACUGCAGCUUUCAUGGCCAUACAGAUCUUGGAGUUCGUCUGAAAUAGGGAAAAAUAUGCGGCGGAAUAAGGAUUGGGACUACAAAGUAGAAGAAAAUGAAAAAUUUCUUGCGCUCUGUGAUUGUUUGCUUUAUGCUGAGUGCAUGCGAUUCACAUAGGUCAACAAGCACAAGGGCAUAAUUGGAAAUUUGUACAGUUAGCCUACAUUUCAUAUUCAGAAGGUCAGUUGAUUUGUAAAUAAGGAUUAGGACUACAAAGUGGAAGCUCUGAAAAAUUUCUUUGUUGAAAAGGAUUACAGGUUAUUAAAGUUUCUGAAGGUGUCAUUCGCUCUGAAAUUCGAGCUGCCUCGCCGGUUCAAGCGGAUUUGUCAAUAAGGAUUGGGACUACAAAGUGGAAGUUCUGAAAAAUUUCUUGAUCGAAAAGGAUGACAGAUUAGUGAAGGUGUACUCCAUUAUGAAAUUUCUAUUCAAUGCCCUGCUUAAUUAUUAAUGAAUUCGUGUGUAAAAUUCAUAUGAUGUAUGAUUAUUUGUGUACUAAUUAUUAAAAGAGUAUUG